CAGAGACAUUGAUCUCCAUAUACAGCAUUUUCCCCUUGUUUUUGGCGUACUUUCACACUGAGACAGGACUCUAUCUACAGAUCUUAUUGACUACAUGUAUUUCUCUGACACAAUGAUCGUCUGUAAUACCCCUUGAAGAAGGAUCACAGAUACCGAAACGGCUGUCGGGUUGGACCAAUUUUUGUCUCAUGUCUGUUUUAUUGCUUUACAAAUAGGAUCUGUAUACCACUUGCAUGUGGUUUUUUAUCCUUGCUAGGACACUGUACGAUGUCCUUACUUAAAUUGUUUAAAUAAAUUUGCUAUAUAUUUUUCUACUCA